AGGUGCUGUACCCACAGUCAUAUCAUUUAACCCUCUCUCCAGCCCAGAUGUCCUGAUCCUAAGGGCCAGGCAGUUAGAUGGGUAUACCCCUAAAGUCCUAUACAACUCAGGGCCCCUGAAAAUGCCCCCUCAUCCAGCAUUUUCCCUACAUAUGGAAACAAACACCAUUGUUUGAAAAAAGUAAAAAACCUUCUUUACACUGAGCUGAAAUUUGCCUCCAGUGAUUUCUUCUUGGACUACACCGAAUAAGUUUCUUGCUCUUCCACUCCAUAAGCCUACAAAAUACUGGAGAACAGCUGUCAGGAGAGAUAACAAACCCGAAGCCUGGAAAUCACUCAUCAAACCAGUUUUCUUCCUUUUAAGUGACAAAUAUGUGGGUUGGGUCAAAACUGGAAGAGAAGAUCUGCUGCCAGGCCACAGUGCCCUUUGGUUUUUGCUUUCCAGAUGCUCGGGAGCCAUUCUGCAGGCAAGCAGACCUAUUUGCAGGGACGGGCAAUUGUUGCUGUGGUGCAAUGAAGCAAGUGGGGCUGGGAAAGAAUCCUUAAGAAGAUGGUUCCUGCCAGAUUUCUUUCUGCCAGUGCCACAAACUUUAAUUAAAGCGAGCCCUCAGGCUGCACCAGGGACUACAGGUGCUGUGAUGUUGGUGUCCAAUGGGGUCAACAGAAAGAACUGCUAACUGUGAGUGAGGCAGCAGCCAAGAUGCAAGCACCAGCCAACAUGCAAAGAGAAAAGAGAAAAUGAACCUGUGUUCCCUUCCGAUAAGACAGUAUUUACAAACCGGAGAUCUGGAGACUGACAGGCGGGGUCCCAAACUCAGCUCUGGCACUUGAAUAAACCAGAUGACUUGGGACAAACUA
rnacentral:lncRNA from 10 species